UUUUUUUUUUUUUUUUUUUUUUAACCUGGCCCACGUGACGUACAGACCCGCCACAAAUACAAAGUUCUUCUGUCCACUCGGACAGAGUCUCCUUUGUAUUUGCACGGCGUACCAACGAUACAACAGGAUCACAACCACAAUCUACAUUUACCAAUCAACAACCAAAGCAUGAUAUGCAUUUCCAUACAGCUAACAAUCCUUAGAAUGAUGCAUGCCUCUAAGCACUCCUUAGGCGCUGGAUGAUGUAAUGCACAAUACAACAAACAUCCUAUUUAAAAGUGCUCCCCACACGGAAGCUUUUGUUUUUGAACUCUAAUUCAUUCAUCAUGAAAAACCAUUUGAAAACCUUUUGAAAACUGUUUUCCACACGGAAACUCUAUUUUGAAAACCGACUACCUCGAGGGGUAGAAAACCACGAUAUGUAAAUACAAGAAAAUUCGAUAUCCAUAAAAUCAAUAUCCAAAUCCACAAAUCUCAGUUUACAUGCAUAAAUAAUGAAAGCAUCCCCAGAUCUACCAAAACCAGAUCACCAACAUUCAAACAAUCAUAAAGAUCAGCUAACUGAACCAUAUAAACUAUCUAAACUAUAUCAACAGGACAGUAAGGGUAGAAACUAAACCGAAUAACCUGGGUCGGAAGCUCUAGCGACCACUACGAACGUGUCUCACGUCUCGUCUCAACUCUCACCGCCGGCGAUACCUGAAAAAUAGUGGGGGAGGUGAGAACAUGUAAACAUGUCUCCCCUCCCAGUGGGUACCGCAAGCCGAUGAAGGCGAGGAGUACUCACCGGAUCAGGAA
rnacentral:lncRNA from 1 species